GAAAGAAAAGAAUCGCCGGAGAGGAAGAAGGGAGAGAGAUGGAGGAGAGAAGAGAGGAAAAUGGAAUUUUUUUUUUAAUGUUAGAGAGAAAGGGUUGGCUGUGGUAAAUGGGAGAGAGAGAGAGAGAGAAAGAGGAGGUAGUUGGAAGUAUUAAAAGGUUAGAGUAGAAUUAUAUUGUUUGUUUAGGAGUAGUUUCGGUAUUUUUAUAAAUAUUUUUAAAUGAGAAAACUGUUUUUGUGGGAAUCAGUUUUGAGAAGCAGCUUUUUUCUGCUUCUACUUUUAGAGGUUGAAAAAUCAGUUUUCUAAUUCUUAGAAGUAGAAUCAGUUUUUAAAAUUUUCAUUGCCAAAUGCUUUACUGAGCCCAAAAUCACUUUUGGGCUCAGAAUCACUUUUAAAAAGCUUGGCCAAACACCCCCUAAACCUCGCACUAUUACAGUUGGGUCAGAGCCACUCUUGGGCUAAAUUAUUGAACAAGGCCAGGCUUUACGAAGUGGGAACAAGGUUUGUUGUAUGGGCCAGGGUUGAGCCAUGCAUUAGCCCAACCCAUAGCUGGUCUUCCAGAUCUAAACACAUGAGUGUCAAUGUGCUUAAUUUUCAGCUAAACGCUUGCCGAACACAAUUUUAGACAAAUAUUAUUUAAGUUCUCCAAAUAAAAAAUCUAGAGCUUGGUUCAAGUGUCACUACUUGAAAUACUAAAGGCUUGCAACUUGAAGUGAUUAAUCAACCAGUGAGAAAUGCAGAGAGAAGUGCCACGUCGGCAACGACCCCGGCGCGGCCGGACCCACGCCACGCUGGCAACGACCCCGGAUUCGACCCCGGCGCGGCCAGACCCACGUCACCCCGGCCCUGUCUUUGCUGGAUCCGGCAACGACCCCGGAUCCGACCCCAUCGCGGUCGGACCCACGCCAUGCCGGCAACGACCCCGGAUCCGACCCCGGCGCGGCCGGACCCACGCCACCCCGGCCCUGUCUUUGCCGGAUCCGGCCCCGGCGCAGCCGGACCCACGCCACGCCGGCAACGACCCCGAAUCCAACCCCGGAUCCAGCAAAGACAGUGAGGGAGAGAGAGAAAGUUGUAAAAAAAAAAAGAAAAAAAGAGAGUAUCUUCUUUGGAGGUUCGCCGGAGAGGAGGUUUGUCGGAAAGAAAAGAAUCGCCGGAGAGGAAGAAGGGAGAGAGAUGGAGGAGAGAAGAGAGGAAAAUGGAAUUUUUUUUUUAAUGUUAGAGAGAAAGGGUUGGCUGUGGUAAAUGGGAGAGAGAGAGAGAGAGAAAGAGGAGGUAGUUGGAAGUAUUAAAAGGUUAGAGUAGAAUUAUAUUGUUUGUUUAGGAGUAGUUUCGGUAUUUUUAUAAAUAUUUUUAAAUGAGAAAACUGUUUUUGUGGGAAUCAGUUUUGAGAAGCAGCUUUUUUCUGCUUCUACUUUUAGAGGUUGAAAAAUCAGUUUUCUAAUUCUUAGAAGUAGAAUCAGUUUUUAAAAUUUUCAUUGCCAAAUGCUUUACUGAGCCCAAAAUCACUUUUGGGCUCAGAAUCACUUUUAAAAAGCUUGGCCAAAC
rnacentral:lncRNA from 1 species